rnacentral:rRNA from 1 species
AAAUUGAAGAGUUUGAUCAUGGCUCAGAUUGAACGCUGGCGGCAGGCCUAACACAUGCAAGUCGAACGGUAGCACAGAGAGCUUGCUCUCGGGUGACGAGUGGCGGACGGGUGAGUAAUGUCUGGGAAACUGCCUGAUGGAGGGGGAUAACUACUGGAAACGGUGGCUAAUACCGCAUAACGUCGCAAGACCAAAGAGGGGGACCUUCGGGCCUCUUGCCAUCAGAUGUGCCCAGAUGGGAUUAGCUAGUUGGUGAGGUAACGGCUCACCAAGGCGACGAUCCCUAGCUGGUCUGAGAGGAUGACCAGCCACACUGGAACUGAGACACGGUCCAGACUCCUACGGGAGGCAGCAGUGGGGAAUAUUGCACAAUGGGCGCAAGCCUGAUGCAGCCAUGCCGCGUGUAUGAAGAAGGCCUUCGGGU